rnacentral:rRNA from 1 species
GAUGAACGCUGGCGGCGUGCCUAAUACAUGCAAGUCGAGCGAACAGAUAAGGAGCUUGCUCCUUUGACGUUAGCGGCGGACGUGUGAGUAACACGUGGAUAACCUACCUAUAAGACUGGGAUAACUUCGGGAAACCGGAGCUAAUACCGGAUAACAUAUUGAACCGCAUGGUUCAAUAGUGAAAGGCGGCUUUGCUGUCACUUAUAGAUGGAUCGGCGCCGUAUUAGCUGGUUGGUAAGGUAACGGCUUACCAAGGCAACGAUACGUAGCCGACCUGAGAGGGUGAUCGGCCACACUGGAACGGAGACGCGGUCCAGACUCCUACGGGAGGCAGCAGUAGGCAAUGUUCCGCAAUGGGCGAAAGCCUGACGGAGCAACGCCGCGUGAGUGAUGAGGGUCUUCGGAUCGUAAAACUCUGUUAUCAGGGAAGAACAACUUUGUAAGGAACUGUGCACAGCUUGACGGUACCUGAUCAGAAAGCCACGGCUAACUACGUG